CCUCAUUCUUGAUGUUGUUGUUCAGUUCAUGUAUCUUCAUCUCUGCAUCCCUCAUCUUCUGUUCAAGGUUUCCAUUCUCCAGCCUCAGGCUAGAGAGCUCAGAGGUCUUCUCGUUCAACAUGUUUCUGUAAACAUCAAAGUUCACUGAUCCUGGAUUGAAGAGAGGCGCACUGCUGACGUUCGAGGUUUAGCUUGUCUUUGAGGUGAGCGAUAGUAUAGCCUUGUUUGUCCAAACUCUCUAGAAAUGGGAGAAUGAAGUUAGAUAAAGUAUAACAGACAGAUAUGUACACAAACAGAAGGAUAUUCUGACAGGCAGACGGACAGUCAUCCUGACAGAUAAUAA